AUGUUGUUUUGCAGUGGGGAAGUGGUUCCUCCUCAACUCUCCUCCUGGCGAAAUCCAAUUUGUUGCCAAAGGCCUCACCUUUUACCCCCAAAGCGUCACUCUUUUAUCACUUUUAUUUCGCUUUUCUAAUUUUGUUUCAAUCAUUUGAAUCGCAUUUUGCAUUUGAUGUUUGGCUUUGGUGGCAGAUGUGAAGGAGGCUGCGCCAUAGGCAUCCCCUCGAAAUGCCCGGUUGAAUUGGAGACGUAUGUUUUCUUUUCUUUUUUUCCCUUCAAAAUUGAAGCCUCCUCUUUGCUGAAUAAAGGCUCCUCUUGGUUUUAGUGUCUCAUUUCGAUGAAUUUUGGGCUCUCAAAUGUGUCUGCAAAAUUGCAAACCUUUCUUUUGUAUUGGGGUUCCAAUUUUCCGGGUGAUAAGUCUUUCCUCUUUUUUUUAAAUAUUUACUCUCAUGUCUCUGUCCAAAACAUUUUUUUUAUAGUACGUUUUGUGCAAUGUACAAAUAUAUUAUAGGAAUAGAAGAUGAAUCUGUCUUUUCAACAAACAGCAAGAGUUACAUAUUCUGCGAGUACUUUACUCCACCAGUUUUAGAAUGAAUUUUUUUAUAAAAACAUUAUCUCUUUAAACUCAACAUUUAAUUUUGAAUUUUCCAAUGAAAAUGACACAAUUUUUGGUACAGUUUUCUUCCGAUAAUUGGAGUAGGCAAGUAGCAAAGGAUAAACUAUCAAAAUCGUAGGUAGGUUACAGGAACCCAAAUUAUUGUAAAAUUUGAUUGGUAAAGAUUUAAAAGUAUGUUAGAUUGACAAUAAAAAAGUGAAAGAUCAAUUACAGAGAAAUGGGUGGCGCGAGUGGUCUUAAUUGUUGCAUGUCUUCCUUAUAUGUGCAUAUUCUGUCUAUUAUUCUCUAUUUCAUGAUUGAUUUGAUUAUCUGUUUUUAUCCUCUAGGUUUGUUGGGAUGUUAAUAAGGUUUUGUGCUUUUGCAAAAUAUUGGUUCAUCCUUUCAAUUUAUAUGAUAUGAAUGUGUCCUGUAGUAUGCGUAUUUUAAAUUUCUUAUUUGACGAUUUAUGAGCUGAAAUGGGAUGUGCCACAAUUUGGUACAUACAUGCCGCCACUAAGCUGUGAUUUGAUUUGGUAUUUGUGGAAGUUUUGCAACUCAUUUAUAGAUUCGUACAUACGGACCUUUAAGAAUGAAAAUUUCCUUUUAUGGCAACCCAUAACAAAUACCAAUGUGGCUUGCAGGGCUUGGAUUGUGCAUCGAGUACUGAAGAGCUUGGAUUGUGCAGCAAGUACUGAAGUUGUUGUGGCACUGGAACACCAAGGAGUUUGUAAGUGA
rnacentral:lncRNA from 1 species